rnacentral:rRNA from 1 species
AAUCGCGUCCAUGCGUGCAGCUAACCGGUACUAAUGAACCGUGAGGCUUAACCUUACAACGCCGAAG